UGGUAACAGCGCGGCGCGCGGUUCAAAUGUGUUUAUAGCCGGAAAAAACGACGAUUCGAACCGAAAUACCGAUUUGCGUACCUGUUUGCAUUGACAUAAGUCACGAUAAAACGAUCUCGAUCGGCCCGAUACAGACGCCCGAGUGGGCCACCAGACGUCGACACUGCAUGGUGUUCUUUGCGCGCGUCUUAUUCGCGUCGGUAAUGUCGGUUAGCAAAUGUGCCGUUAGUGAACGACCGAAUUUUAAUUUCACGAAUAAUACGCUCUUAAUUAGUCGUUAUUAGGUUUUGAAGAAACAUUUAAGAUUAAUUUUUUUCUCAAACGAACCAUCGUGAAACACGAAUUUUGCUCUUAAAUAAUACACGUAAAAGUGUUCAAUAUGAUAUAUAUUAUGUCUACCUGCUAGUUUUUCAUUGUAGAAUAUUGAGCCGCAUACCUCCCAGUCCAAAUCAAAUAAUUAAUUAAAAGAAGAAAAGUUUGAAAAAUAUAUCUUUAUCGGGCCACUGAGAAAAUUAUCAAAUUGGAAAAAAAGAAAAACACUACAAUACAUUCACGGACUAAUUGAACUACGAGUACGCCACCUAUACUUCAGAUAUACUAAAUACAAUGGCAGAUAAAAAUCAACCGCCGUCUUCCGAAAAUUAUCAGCACUUAAAGCUUCCAUGGCCUGAAAAUUCAUUAAUGCAAAGGCGGAUGAAUAGAUAUGUUGCUGAAUGGGAAAGACAAAAAGUCGAUGCUGCAAAUAAUAAAAUGGACGAAGUUAAGAAAAAAGAAAAUACCUUGGCACCGCAAAAUAAAACUAAAAAAGAUAAACAAUAGGGAUGCCUUUUAACCAAUCUACAUUGUACUAUUUAUUAUGAACUGUUAAUAUGUAUAUUAUUAUUUUUUAUAUUUUAAUGUAAAAAUGUUUUAUUUUUAUAUUAUGUUUUUAACA